GAGGAGAGCCUUCUUGGACCCACAGCCUCUGAAGACAGUUCUCCUGCUAGAGUCGGUGCCACCAGUCCUGCCAUUGCCACCUCAGCCUGGUCAAGGCCAGAAGUCCUUCUUGGGCUGAAGAGCAUUCAUCCCCUGAACCUGAGGACAAGGUGGGCGGUGGACGCCUCCCAUGGGAGCUGGAGGGACCCGAGAGCCUGCCGGACACUGUGUUUCUCACUUGGUUCUCCUUGGGGCCUUCAAAUUGGGUGUGGAAAUGUCCACCUCUAACCCUCAGAGGUGUUUGGAAGUACAGAUAUAAGUGGGCUUUAGGGAAAAUAUAAAGCUGUAUUCUGGUGCAAGAGA
rnacentral:lncRNA from 1 species